UACGUAGGGUGCAAGCGUUGUCCGGAAUUAUUGGGCGUAAAGAGCUCGUAGGCGGUCUGUCGCGUCGGCUGUGAAAACCCGGAGCUCAACUCCGGGCCUGCAGUGGGUACGGGCAGACUAGAGUGCGGUAGGGGGAGAUUGGAAUUCCUGGUGUAGCGGUGGAAUGCGCAGAUAUCAGGAGGAACACCAGUGGCGAAGGCGGCUCACUGGUCCGGUACUGACGCUGAGGUGCGAAAGCGUGGGGAGCAAACAGG
rnacentral:rRNA from 1 species